rnacentral:rRNA from 1 species
UACGUAGGGUCCGAGCGUUGUCCGGAGUUACUGGGCGUAAAGCGCGCGCAGGCGGCUCGAUAAGACUGGCGUGAAAGCCCCCGGCUCAACCGGGGAGGGUCGUUGGUGACUGUCGAGCUUGAAGACAGCAGGGGCAGGUGGAAUUCCCGGUGUAGUGGUGAAAUGCGUAGAGAUCGGGAGGAACACCCGUGGCGAAGGCGGCCUGCUGGGCUGAUCUUGACGCUGAGGCGCGAAGGCGUGGGGAGCGAACGGGAUUAGAUACCCCGGUAGUCCACGCAGUAAACGAUGCAGACUAGGCGUGGGGGGACUUGACCCCUUCCGUGCCGGAGCUAACGCGGUAAGUCUGCCGCCUGGGGAGUACGGCCGCAAGGCUAAA